rnacentral:rRNA from 1 species
UGCAAGUCGAGCGCGGGAAGCGAACGGAACUCUUCGGAGGGAAGUUCGUGGAACGAGCGGCGGACGGGUGAGUAACACGUAGGCAACCUGCCUGUAAGACUGGGAUAACUCGCGGAAACGCGAGCUAAUACCGGAUAACACUUUCUAUCACCUGAUGGAAAGUUGAAAGGCGGCUUUUGCUGUCACUUACAGAUGGGCCUGCGGCGCAUUAGCUAGUUGGUGAGGUAACGGCUCACCAAGGCGACGAUGCGUAGCCGACCUGAGAGGGUGAUCGGCCACACUGGGACUGAGACACGGCCCAGACUCCUACGGGAGGCAGCAGUAGGGAAUCUUCCGCAAUGGACGAAAGUCUGACGGAGCAACGCCGCGUGAGUGAUGAAGGUUUUCGGAUCGUAAAACUCUGUUGUCAGGGAAGAACAAGUACGAUAGUAACUGAUCCUACCUUGACGGUACCUGACCAGAAAGCCACGGCUAACUACGUGCCAGCAGCCGCGGUAAUACGUAGGUGGCAAGCGUUGUCCGGAAUUAUUGGGCGUAAAGCGCUCGCAGGCGGUUCUUUAAGUCUGAUGUGAAAUCUUGCGGCUCAACCGCAAACGUGCAUUGGAAACUGGAGGACUUGAGUGCAGAAGAGGAGAGUGGAAUUCCACGUGUAGCGGUGAAAUGCGUAGAGAUGUGGAGGAACACCAGUGGCGAAGGCGACUCUCUGGUCUGUAACUGACGCUGAGGAGCGAAAGCGUGGGGAGCGAACAGGAUUAGAUACCCUGGUAGUCCACGCCGUAAACGAUGAGUGCUAGGUGUUAGGGGGUUUCCGCCCCUUAGUGCUGAAGUUAACGCAUUAAGCACUCCGCCUGGGGAGUACGGCCGCAAGGCUGAAACUCAAAAGAAUUGACGGGGACCCGCACAAGCGGUGGAGCAUGUGGUUUAAUUCGAAGCAACGCGAGAACCUUACCAGUCUUGACAUCCUUUGACCGCUCUAGAGAUAGAG